CAGACAGGCGGUUCUGUGUGUCCUCUGUGAAAGCCCUCGGCUCAACCGAGGAAUUGCAGGGGAAACUGCGGGACUUGAGUCCGGGAGAGGCUAGUGGAAUUCCCAGUGUAGCGGUGAAAUGCGUAGAUAUUGGGAGGAACACCAGUGGCGAAGGCGGCUAGCUGGACCGGUACUGACGCUGAACUGCGAAAGCUAGGGGAGCGAACAGGAUUAGAUACCCUGGUAGUCC
rnacentral:rRNA from 1 species